rnacentral:rRNA from 1 species
CUAAGAAUAUUCCGCAAUGGACGGAAGUCUGACGGAGCGACGCCGCGUGGAUGACGAAGGCCGAAAGGUUGUAAAGUUCUUUUGCUGGGGAAGAAUAACCGCAGGAGGGAAUGCCUGUGGGAUGACAAGAACCGGCGAAUAAGCCCCGGCCAACUACGUGCCAGCAGCCGCGGUAACACGUAGGGGGGCGAGCGUUGUUCGGAAUUACUGGGCGUAAAGGGCAUGUAGGCGGCUUGGAAAGCCUGGCGUGAAAGUCUGCAGCUUAACUGCAGGGGUGCGCUGGGAACUGCUGAGCUUGAGUGACGGAGAGGGAGCUGGAAUUCCUGGUGUAGGGGGUGAAAUCUGUAGAUAUCAGGAAGAACACCGAUGGCGAAGGCAAGCUCCUGGCCGAUGACUGACGCUGAGGUGCGAAAGUGUGGGGAUCAAACAGGAUUAGAUACCCUGGUAGUCCACACAGUCAACGAUGUGCACUAGGUGCUGGGGCGGUAGCUUCGGUGCCGGAGCGAACGUGGUAAGUGCACCGCCUGGGGGAGUAUGCUCGCAAGGGUG